rnacentral:rRNA from 1 species
GCUGGCGGCGUGCCUCAGACAUGCAAGUCGAACGCGAAAGUUCCCUUCGGGGAGCGAGUAGAGUGGCGCACGGGUGAGUAACACGUAGGUAAUCUACCUUUGGAUUGGGAAUAACAACCGGAAACGGUUGCUAAUACCGAAUAAUGCAGCGGCACCUAAUGGUGACAGUUGUUAAAGCGGGGGAUCGCAAGACCUCGCGUCUAAAGAGGAGCCUGCGGCGGAUUAGCUAGUUGGUAAGGUAAUGGCUUACCAAGGCGAUGAUCCGUAGCCGGCCUGAGAGGGCGGUCGGCCACACUGACACUGACAUACGGGUCAGACUCCUACGGGAGGCAGCAGUCGGGAAUUUUGGGCAAUGGGCGAAAGCCUGACCCAGCAACGCCGCGUGAAGGAUGAAAUCCCUCGGGAUGUAAACUUCGCAAGAACGGGAAGAAUAAGUGAGGGUUAAUAUCCCUUACGAUGACGGUACUGUUUGUAAGCUCCGGCUAACUCCGUGCCAGCAGCCGCGGUAAUACGGGGGGAGCAAGCGUUGUUCGGAUUUACUGGGCGUAAAGGGCGCGUAGGCGGCCACUGCAAGUCAGUUGUGAAAUCUCCGGGCUUAACCCGGAAAGGUCAACUGAUACUGCAGGGCUAGAGUGCAGA